rnacentral:rRNA from 1 species
CAGUCGCCGCGGUAAUACGAAGGGUGCAAGCGUUAAUCGGAAUUACUGGGCGUAAAGCGUGCGUAGGCGGUUUGUUAAGUCUGUUGUGAAAUCCCCGGGCUCAACCUGGGAAUGGCAAUGGAUACUGGCAAGCUAGAGUGUGUCAGAGGAUGGUGGAAUUCCCGGUGUAGCGGUGAAAUGCGUAGAGAUCGGGAGGAACAUCAGUGGCGAAGGCGGCCAUCUGGGACAACACUGAUGCUGAGGCACGAAAGCGUGGGGAGCAAACAGGAUUAGAUACCCCAGUAGUCCCUGUCUCUUAUAC